rnacentral:lncRNA from 1 species
GCUGGAUUUCGUCAGGAAUCUUCCUUCAUCUUUUAGUCUUGCUCUCCAGUGUUGGCUGCAUUCACAUGCAGGUUCGCUCCCUAAGGGUCCUUUCUACAAACCCCAGGAGACGGUAGAAAAUGACCGGGACUGGGACUCUGAUUGGAACACCUGAGGUCAGAGGACUAUGUCUGAACCAAAUUCUGGCCAGGGAAAGGUACUACUCUGAUUGGCUAGUGGAAUGGAGUACGCUGAUUGGCCAGUGGAAUGGAGUAUUCUGAUCAGCCAGGCUUGCCAGGGAUCCGGUUAUGCCAGCCAAACAAAAUGGGCUGAGGGGGCAGAGGUGUGAAGCUCCCAUAGUGGGACAGGGUGGCUGGCAAACCCCACAGAUUUCCAGGAGGAGGAGGAGCCAGUUGACUGCGCACGGGGCAGGUAAGGGGAGUUCCUGGCAGAGGAGACAGCGAGUGCAAAGAUUCCAAUGGGGAAGGCAACGUGACCUGUUUGAGGCAGUCAGGAGACACCCCUCACUCUCUCAGGUGCCUUCUCCUGGCCCCUACACCCCCUAGCUUCCUGUUGCAGCACUUACCUCUCUGGGCUGGAACCCAGUCUGGCUUCUCUCCCCGCAGUCUGGGGCCCUCCUUCUGGGAGGUCCUCCUUGCCUCCCACAGUGAGGGGUUUGGACUUCCAGCUAGACCACCCAGCUAAAGCAGAGAACAGGACCAGAAUGAUGUACUCAGAUCCACAGAGACCACAGUACAACAGCAACAUGAUGGAGAGGCACAGCUCCCCACAGGGUUCUUCACCCCCACACCUCUCCCCGCCCUCUCUCUCACCUCCACACCAUGACAGGUCUCACUCUGUCAUCCAGGCUGGAGUGCGGUGGCACGAUCUCGGCUCACUGCAACCUUCGCCUUCCGGGCUCAAGUGAUCCUCUUCCACCUGUCUCCCAAGUAGCUGGGACCACAGGCAUGCACCACCACACCCAGGUAAUUUUUUGUAUUUUUGGUAGAGACAGAGUUUUGACAUGUUGCCCAGACUGGUCUCAAACUCCUGAGCUCAAGCGAUCCACCCCCACCCCCCUUGGUCUCCCAAAGUGCUGGGAUUACAGGUGUGAGCCACCUCACCCAGCUCCCAUAUUCUUAAAAAAAAAAAUACUAUAAGAUAUUCACACACCACCCCAUAUAC